UUGCUUCAGCAGCACAUAUACUAAAAUUGGAACAAUACAGAGAAAAUUAGCAUGCCCCCUGAGCAAGGAUUACACACAAAUUCAUGCCACGUUUCAUUAAAAA